GUCCGGGCCCGGAAUGACGUCAGGAAACCCAUCUCAUUCUGCAGUCUAUGCCCAAAAUCAGGUCAAAUCCCGCUUUAUAGUGGUAUUAUUGGCUCGGCGAACAAGGACCACAUAGAUAACAUGGAGGCAGACUUCCGUCUCACUACUCUGCUGAGGAAGACCAUUCCGCCAUACACCCCUACCGCGCGUCGCAGAACCAUCCCUGGUUACGCGGGCAAGGGAGUCUAUGCUGACAACACUGAUGUCUCUCCGCCCCUUCCAUCUCUUCCUGGGACAAUCAUGGGAUUCGGGCCCCCAACUUUCGGGCGUAAGGGGCCUUUGUCCAAAAUGGUGAGCACCACGUCACCGUGGAACCCGUUCCUGGUACCCAGGGCCCUGCCGCGGCUUCCUAUGUGACGCGGAAAAACAACGCAGGCGGGCGGGGAAGGAAAGGCCGUGUGCGUGCAAGCGUGCCCAUGCGUUGUGUGCGCGUGCAUCACGUAUGCGUUAUUCUUUUUUUAAGAGCGAUGCAGAGCAAAGGAAAUCCUGAGCAGAAAGUGUGCUUUGAUACAGGAACUUUAUCGCUGCCAUAUUUACAUUGCAAAGUGUGUAUAUAUUUUAUGAACAGCUUAAGGUUUAUCUUGAAAGGAAAAACAUAUUGCCCCAAUUGAAUGAAGCUAUCAACAAGGAAACAGUUUUUGUUGCAAUGUAUUUAGUGCUGUGGUUUGUGCAAUUUCUUAAACAGGAAAUAAGGAUGAGGUUGUUUCCUGAUCCAUCGAUAAUUUUAAAUAUUUAUUUACUCUAAUUGUGGAUUUACUUUCACCUUAAGUUUACAGACUUUCAAUGUCAAAAAUGAUUGAUGUAUUAUUAUGUUACACUAUGCAUAUCAUAUAGUAUUCUGGUAUUCAUUUGAUCCCUGGCUAAAAAUAAGGUUUUCUGAGUUUGUAUUCUCUAUAAAAAAUAUAUAUAUAAAUCACACACGAUCGUGAUGAAAAUGGCCUGAGUGUGUACUUUUCAUUAA